AGGCACAAAGAAGAAAUUCUUCAUCAGUGUCUCAGAGGUGAAUCCAGCAUCUUGCAUCUCACACCUGGAAAACACACAGAUAGAUGCUCAGUGCAACAAAGAGAAGGUGAAAGCUAAAUGACCAGUCUACUCACUUGACGCCAACUAUUUGGACAUUCAGCUCCUUUGCACAUUCCAUUAGAUGACGACAGUUCUUCAGGGUGGUGCCAAACUUCAUGUUCAUCUCUUCAUCUCCAUUAAUGUCUUCUGUGGCAAUAUGAAGCAAGAGCCUAAGAGAAGGGGAAGAUGAUUGGGGCACAGUUGGUUUACACCAGCAUCAGCACAUGUGAAGCCUGAAGACUGUCAGAAGUAUGUUGAUUAUGUUGCCAUUACUCCAGUGCCAUCGAUGGACGAGCCAAGUGAACCUAAUAAAAACAAUCCUGUACAGAGAGAAAACUAGCAAUUAGGGCCUAAAACAUGGAGUCAAAAAGAAAGGGGGGUUGGAAAUGCAGCAGCUAAAGACUCUGUUGUAGCAGAAAGUCUGUUGAAUGCUGUAACAAAAAUACAUUACCUUACAUGUAGUCAUGGACAUCCUAAGUUCCUCUGACACUCAACUUUCUGAAUAUGGCUAGUUUAGAGAUAUUGGUUUUUU